GACGUAGGGGGCCAGCGUUGCUCGGAAUUACUGGGCGUAAAGGGUUCGUAGGCGGUGCGGCAAGUCGGGAGUGAAAUCUCUGGGCUUAACCCAGAGGCUGCUUCCGAAACUGCCGUGCUAGAGUGCGGGAGAGGCCAGUGGAAUUGCAGGUGUAGCGGUGAAAUGCGUAGAUAUCUGCAGGAACACCCGUGGCGAAGGCGGCUGGCUGGACCGCAACUGACGCUGAGGAACGAAAGCUAGGGGAGCAAACAGG
rnacentral:rRNA from 1 species